AACCACUACAUCCUACGGAAACGCCAAGACAGUAAGGGGUCUUUCUGUUCCCCACUGUGACAGACCCUCACUGUAAAUAGAGCCGGGGUUCCUCACGCGGGUAUAAUAUCCCCGGGGGAGGGCUAUACACUCCCGGCUCAGGGUCGAAGUUGCCCACAGAGGGCUGUGAGACUACUUCCUACUGCUACCUGUACCGGACUUUCC